AUACGUAGGUGACAAGCGUUAUCCGGAUUUACUGGGCGUAAAGGGCGUGUAGGCGGUCUUGCAAGUCAGAAGUGAAAUUCCUGAGAUCAACUCGGGAGCUGCUUCUGAAACUGCAGGACUUGAGUGCUGGAGGGGAUAGCGGAAUUCCUAGUGGAGCGGUAAAAUGCGAAGAUAUUAGGAAGAACACCGGUGGCGAAGGCGGGUAUCUGGGCAAGAACUGACGCUGAGGCGCGAAAGCGUGGGGAGCAAACAGGAUUAGAUACCCUGGUAGUCCACGCCCUAAACGAUGAAUACUAGGUGUAGGGGGUAUCGACUCCCUCUGUGCCGCAGUUAACACAAUAAGUAUUCCGCCUGGGGAGUACGGCCGCAAGGUUGAAACUCAAAUGAAUUGGCGGGG
rnacentral:rRNA from 1 species